UACGUAGGGGGCAAGCGUUGUCCGGAAUCAUUGGGCGUAAAGCGUGUGUAGGCGGCUCGACAAGUCCGCUGUGAAAGUCCAGGGCUCAACCCUGGGAUGCCGGUGGAUACUGUCGAGCUUGAGUCCGGAAGAGGCGAGUGGAAUUCCUGGUGUAGCGGUGAAAUGCGCAGAUAUCAGGAAGAACACCCGUGGUGAAAGCGGCUCUCUGGAACGGUACUGACGCUGAGACGCGAAAGCGUGGGGAGCGAACAGG
rnacentral:rRNA from 1 species